AUGAAAUGUUCCUAGGAAUUGUGAGAAUGGACAGGCAGUGACUUAAGGCUUUUUCUUCCUAAGGAAAGCUGUAAAAAACUUCUGAAGCCCAGCAAAAUGAACACCUAUCCCUGGAAAUGAUCAGCAACAGUACAAUCCUCUAGGCCAGUAUUCACUGCAAGGACCGCUGAUAGCAAUGAAUUGGGCUGAUUCUUCAAGCUGCUGAUAAUACAACAGAAAAUGACAGUACUAAGUGUGGUAAGGCAGGAGCAGACAACAGGAGAUUACAGGAAGGACACAGUGCGCAUCCAACAUCUAGGCCUGCAUCUCAACAACUGCCCUAUGGCACAGAAGCAGUAGGAACAUUAGGGAGUGCUCUUGCAGGAGAAGAAAAUACAGAACAACCAAACUGCUUUGUGCUGGAUCCAAGCUAAAUUAGCAGUUGCUUAACAGCAAAGACAGUGUUCAGGGCAAAACCAUUCAACAUUGUGCUUGCCUGUGCUAUGUUAAAACUUCACGCUGUUACUAAAACCUUCUCUGCCAGGGAGCUAGAUGAGUGAUUCUGAAAGCGCAAUGAGAUUAUUAUAACAUAAAUAACAGUAUGGCAACAUGUGGGUUAUACAAU